rnacentral:lncRNA from 1 species
AUAUGGAUUCUGUGAAUUUAUUAUAAUAAAAAUAACUAGUAUAUCACUGUUAUUGUUAACAUAAAUACUUAAUUUUCUUUCUUUUUAACUAAAUUAAUUAUCUUUCCUAAUCUCUCUCUUACCAAUAUCAAAUUCAUUUACAAGUUCUUACAAUGUGUGGUGUGAACUCUAAAAUUUUACAUUACAUAAUUAGUAAGCCCUUCUAUAUCAUAUAGUACAUGUUAUUAAUAACCUCUAUUUAUUUAUUUUGCAAUCACUACGGAUAUGCUAUUUAAACUGUCACUAAUAUUCAUUGCAUUGUUCAUAUUCAUUGCAAUCACUAUGGGAUACACUCACUACACACUAACCAUGUAAGGAGUUCAAUUGAAAGACCUCUAAGACAAUUACAACAGUGAUACAGACUUCAUAAAACAACACUACAUGAUAAUAUUGGUUCUCUUGCGAAUAAACAGGAUAGUGGGAUAAUACAACAUACAGCGAGUCAAGGACAAAUUAAUUGAGACCAUUCUACAAUAAAUCUAUGCAGGCACCAUAACUGAGCAUGAUCAACCUCGAAAGCUGGAUUUUCUCUUCUAGAUCAACUCCUGCUACUGAUUUUCAUUAACAUCAUUCAGCUGCAAAAUUUUAAAGGGAAAAAGAAAAAAAAAAGACAUUUUUUAGUUGUUAAUAUAAACAAACAAUAAUUCGAUCCACAAUACACUCAGUUUAUCAAAGGUUGCCAACUCAGACACAGUGCAUAUUUUAAGAUAUUGAAAUCUCAUAAUAAUACACUCUACUUUAAGCAAAGUAGUGACUACUGACUACGACAUCUUUCAGUUAGGAAGGCAAAAUAUAUAAUAGUUGGCUUAGCUGAUAAGAGAACA